rnacentral:rRNA from 1 species
GACGAACGCUGGCGGCGUGCCUAAUACAUGCAAGUCGAACGCAUUUUCUUUCACCGUAGCUUGCUACACCGAAAGAAAAUGAGUGGCGAACGGGUGAGUAACACGUGGGUAACCUGCCCAUCAGCGGGGGAUAACACUUGGAAACAGGUGCUAAUACCGCAUAAUUCCAUUUACCGCAUGGUAGAUGGAUGAAAGGCGCUUUUGCGUCACUGAUGGAUGGACCCGCGGUGCAUUAGCUAGUUGGUGGGGUAACGGCCUACCAAGGCUGCGAUGCAUAGCCGACCUGAGAGGGUGAUCGGCCACACUGGGACUGAGACACGGCCCAGACUCCUACGGGAGGCAGCAGUAGGGAAUCUUCGGCAAUGGACACAAGUCUGACCGAGCAACGCCGCGUGAGUGAAGAAGGUUUUCGGAUCGAAAAACUCUGUUGUUAGAGAAGAACAAGGAUGAGAGUGGAAAGUUCAUCCCUUGACGGUAUCUAACCAGAAAGCCACGGCUAACUACGUG